GUCAGUCAGUCAGUCUUUUACAUUUAUCGUACAUGCAAAGUGUAUAUACUAAGUGAAGUGAAAUAAAAAAUGUAUUCCAGCGUGAAAGAAGAUGCGAAGAAGAAACAGUAGAAACGUGUGCAACUAGUGAAAAGCAUACCGAACUAAACUUAACGCACUACAGAAGCGAACUUGUUUAACUAGCUGUUUCCCAAUUUCAACCACAUUGGCACUGAGUGUAACACAUACGUGAAUGCGCACCAGUUCCUGUGAUUGAAGUAGGGAAACGGCCACUGUCUACGAUUCUUAAAAAGAUUUGUUGAAAAUGGGAAUUAAAUAAAAGAAAAUUUAAGCUAAUAUAAACCUAUUUUGUGAAUAGUUCAAAUAUUAUAUUUGACAAUUUUUAAUUAGCAUAAUAUGAGAUUAAACGUCGUUUGUAAUCACA